ensembl:lncRNA novel transcript, antisense to MRPS22
CUAAAUGUGUUCUGAAGAUAACAUAGAUGAAACUUCCAUCAACACUGCCAAUCGAAAAAAAAAAAGCACAUGCCAACAUAAUACAAUUUUUCCUCAGAAGGAUUUUGGUAAUUUGAGAAACCUGAAUUCCAAGUUCCUUUCUCCUUUUCAAGUUACAAAAUGCUUCCCAACCAACAUGCACAGCACUGCAAACAUAUAUUAAAGCAUCACAAAACAAAAACUGUAAUUAAAAUUGAAACUCUGUGACUCAUGUUCAUUAUGUCAAAUAUACAGAUGGCUGGUGUUGAACAUAGCUCAAAUCGUUUUCUAACCAUAAUCAUGUAUAAUAAAAGAUUAAUAUGGAGUGAA